UUGGUUUGAUUCCAAG
rnacentral:misc_RNA from 1 species